UCGCUAGUAAUCGCGGAUCAGAAUGCCGCGGUGAAUACGUUCCCGGGUCUUGUACACACCGCCCGUCACACCAUGGGAGUCGGGAAUGCCCGAAGCCAGUGACCCAACCGAAAGGGGGGAGCUGCCGAAGGCAGGCCUGGUAACUGGGGUGAAGUCGUAACAAGGUAGC
rnacentral:rRNA from 1 species